GGAAGUGGAAAGGGCUCUGGUGGCCCUCCCGGACUUCAAAUCCGGUGUACCGGGUUAAUAGCUUGGUAGGUGGGUUCGAUUCCCAUGCACUUCCGCCA
rnacentral:tRNA from 1 species